GAUGAACGUUGGCGGCGUGCCUAACACAUGCAAGUCGAACGAAAGUAGCAAUACUUUAGUGGCGCACGGGUGAGUAACACGUAGCUUACCUCCCUCUCGGCGCGGGAUAACGACUCGAAAGAGUUGCUAAUACCGCAUAAGCUCACGGGUUCUAGAGACUUGUGAGAAAAGGCGAAAGUCACUGAGAGACGGGGCUGCGGCCCAUCAGCUAGUUGGCGCGGUAAAGGCGCACCAAGGCGACGACGGGUAGGGGACCUGAGA
rnacentral:rRNA from 1 species